AUUUUGGUAUAAGUCUAUCCCAUGCAAUAUUUGGGACAUACUUAUACUAAAA
rfam:Ovis aries breed Texel chromosome 7, whole genome shotgun sequence.